GUCACUAAGCGGGUUGGAGCUGAGGUUCAGGAAGUCCAGGUUUGGAAUGUUUGCAACAAUCUUACUGAUCUAAAAAGAACCCAAGCAAAAUCAGACUGAGAUCCCUGGUGGCCAGUUGGGACAACCACCCCCAUGCCUGGGCCUCGGCGGUAUGGAAAGUUCUCCGGGCUGUACUUUUCGCUGAUCACCUGCAUGAAUGUGCGGCCUUCCCCCUCAGGUGCCUCCAUGGCCCUGCCCCACACACGACUGUCUGGAAAAAAAUUUAAAUUAACCAACCAGAGCAUUAAAACUUAUUUUUCACCUUUAA